CACGCACACAAACACAACUAAAAAAAACUCCACAAGACUGAAAGGGUGCCCUUGUUUGUGCUAUCACACUUGAGAUCAUCAAAAACCUCCUCUUGUUGUU